AUUGAACGCUGGCGGCAUGCCUUACACAUGCAAGUCGAACGGCAGCACGGGUGCUUGCACCUGGUGGCGAGUGGCGAACGGGUGAGUAAUACAUCAGAACAUGUCCUGUAGUGGGGGAUAGCCCGGCGAAAGCCGGAUUAAUACCGCAUACGAUCUACGGAUGAAAGCGGGGGACCUUCGGGCCUCGCGCUAUAGGGUUGGCCGAUGGCUGAUUAGCUAGUUGGUGGGGUAAAGGCCUACCAAGGCGACGAUCAGUAGCUGGUCUGAGAGGACGACCAGCCACACUGGGACUGAGACACGGCCCAGACUCCUACGGGAGGCAGCAGUGGGGAAUUUUGGACAAUGGGCGAAAGCCUGAUCCAGCAAUGCCGCGUGUGUGAAGAAGGCCUUCGGGUUGUAAAGCACUUUUGUCCGGAAAGAAAUCCUUGGCUCUAAUACAGUCGGGGGAUGACGGUACCGGAAGAAUAAGCACCGGCUAACUACGUG
rnacentral:rRNA from 1 species